rnacentral:rRNA from 1 species
GAUGAACGCUGGCGGCGUGCUUAACACAUGCAAGUCGAACGGAAAAGCCCAAGCUUGCUUGGGUGCUCGAGUGGCGAACGGGUGAGUAACACGUGGGUGAUCUGCCCUGCACUUUGGGAUAAGCCUGGGAAACUGGGUCUAAUACCGGAUAGGACCAUCGUUUAGUGUCGGUGGUGGAAAGUUUUUCGGUGUGGGAUGAGCUCGCGGCCUAUCAGCUUGUUGGUGGGGUAAUGGCCUACCAAGGCGUCGACGGGUAGCCGGCCUGAGAGGGUGUACGGCCACAUUGGGACUGAGAUACGGCCCAGACUCCUACGGGAGGCAGCAGUGGGGAAUAUUGCACAAUGGGCGCAAGCCUGAUGCAGCGACGCCGCGUGGGGGAUGACGGCCUUCGGGUUGUAAACUCCUUUCGCCAAGGACGAAGCGUUUUGUGACGGUACUUGGAGAAGAAGCACCGGCUAACUACGUG